CAACUCUUCAGAGAGCACCUCCCCUCCUAACUGGCACCUUGACUAGCGCUUAACUUGCACUUCAGCAGUUACAUUCCUGCACUUCUUUUUCCUUUUUUCUAAUUGUCAUGUAAAGUAGUAUUUAUUGUUACACCAUGCUUUUUAUUGCUCUUAGCUUGACUGUUCUCUCCCUUGUCGACGCUUUGGACAAAAGCGUCUGCUAAAUGACUAAAUGUAAAUGUAAAAAAAAUAGAUAUAGGGUUAAGGGUAUAGGGUUUAGGGUUAUAGGGUUAUAUGGUUUAGGGCUAAAGGGUUAUAUAGUUUAGGGUUAUAGGGUUUAGGGAUUAUAGGGUUAAGGGCUUUAGGGUUUAGGGGAUUAGGGAUUAGAGUUUUAGGGCUAUAGGGUUUAUAGGGAUUAGAGUUUUAGGGCUAUAGGGUUUAUAGGUUUUAGGGCUAUAGGGAUUAGGGAUUAGGGUUAUAGGGUUAAGGGUUAUAGGGAUUAGAGCUAUAGGGUUAUAGGGUUUAUAGGGUUUUAGGGUUUAGGGAUUAGGAUUAUAUGGUUUAGGGCUAAAGGGUUAUAUGGUUAUAGGGUUUAGGGUUUAGGGCUUUAGGGCUAUAGGGUUAUAGGGUUAUAGGGUUAUAGGGUUAUAGGGUUAAGGGCUUUAGGGUUUCCAUGUGGUGACUCCUGACCUGCAGCAGCAGCAGCAGUCUUCCUUUUUUUUCCCCUCACAAAGACUCAGUUGCCUGGCAACACAUGUUCCGUGCCAAAGGCCCAUUCCACCCCUACAUAAACAAAUAUAUAUUAUAAUAUAAUAUAAUGU
ensembl:lncRNA